rnacentral:rRNA from 1 species
UACGAAGGGGCUAGCGUUGCUCGGAAUCACUGGGCGUAAAGCGCACGUAGGCGGCUUUCUAAGUCAGGGGUGAAAUCCUGGAGCUCAACUCCAGAACUGCCUUUGAUACUGGCGAUCUCGAGUCCGGGAGAGGUGAGUGGAACUGCGAGUGUAGAGGUGAAAUUCGUAGAUAUUCGCAAGAACACCAGUGGCGAAGGCGGCUCACUGGCCCGGUACUGACGCUGACGGUGCGGAAAGCGUGGGGAGCAAACAGGG